rnacentral:rRNA from 1 species
GAUGAACGAUGGCGGCGUGCCUAAUACAUGCAAGUCGAGCGAACGGACGAGAAGCUUGCUUCUCUGAUGUUAGCGGCGGACGGGUGAGUAACACGUGGAUAACCUACCUAUAAGACUGGGAUAACUUCGGGAAACCGGAGCUAAUACCGGAUAAUAUUUUGAACCGCAUGGUUCAAAAGUGAAAGACGGUCUUGCUGUCACUUAUAGAUGGAUCCGCGCUGCAUUAGCUAGUUUGUAAGGUAACGGCUUACCAAGGCAACGAUGCAUAGCCGACCUGAGAGGGUGAUCGGCCACACUGGAACUGAGACACGGUCCAGACUCCUACGGGAGGCAGCAGUAGGGAAUCUUCCGCAAUGGGCGAAAGCCUGACGGAGCAACGCCGCGUGAGUGAUGAAGGUCUUCGGAUCGUAAAACUCUGUUAUUAGGGAAGAACAUAUGUGUAAGUAACUGUGCACAUCUUGACGGUACCUAAUCAGAAAGCCACGGCUAACUACGUG